rnacentral:tRNA from 1 species
GCCGCCUUAGCUCAGUUGGUUAGAGCGCUAGAUUGUGGAUCUAGAGGUCACCCGUUCAACCCGGGUAGGCGGUACCA